AUGGCGGCAAAGCGCGAGCUGGUGGUCAGCUUCGGGGAGAUGCUGAUAGACUUCGUGCCGACGGUGGCGGGGGUGUCGCUGGCGGAGGCGCCGGCCUUCGUCAAGGCGCCCGGGGGCGCCCCGGCCAACGUCGCCAUCGCCGUCGCGCGCCUCGGCGGCGGGGCCGCCUUCGUCGGCAAGCUCGGCGACGACGAGUUCGGCCGCAUGCUCGCCAAAAUCCUCCGCGACAACGGCGUCGACGCCGGCGGCGUCGUCUUCGACUCGGGCGCGCGCACCGCGCUCGCCUUCGUCACGCUCCGCGCCGACGGGGAGCGCGAGUUCAUGUUCUACCGCAACCCCAGCGCCGACAUGCUCCUCACCGCCGACGAGCUCAAGGUCGACGUCAUCAAGAGGGCUGCAGUCUUCCACUAUGGAUCAAUAAGCUUGAUCGCCGAGCCUUGCCGGACAGCGCAUCUGCACGCCAUGAAGGUUGCCAAAGAGGCCGGCGCGCUUCUCUCGUAUGACCCGAACCUGAGGGAGGCAUUGUGGCCCUCCCUUGAGGAGGCUCGCACCAAGAUCUUGAGCAUCUGGGACCAGGCAGACAUUGUCAAGGUCAGCGAGGUCGAGCUUGAGUUUUUGACUGGCAUCAACUCGGUGGAGGAUGAUGUUGCCAUGAAGCUGUGGCGCCCUACCUUUAAGCUCAUGCUUGUCACUCUUGGAGAUCAAGGAUGCAAGUACUAUACCAAGGAUUUCCGUGGAACUGUCCCAUCCUACAAGGUACAGCAAGUUGAUACGACAGGUGCUGGUGAUGCAUUUAUUGGUUCUCUGCUCCGAAAAAUUGUCCAAGAUCCAUCGGCAUUGCAAGAUAAAACAAAGCUUGAGGGGGCGAUCAAAUUUGCCAAUGCAUGUGGAGCAAUCACCGCCACGAAGAAAGGGGCAAUCCCUUCAUUGCCCAAGGAAGACGAGGUGUUGCGGCUGAUGGAGAAGGCGUAG
rnacentral:rRNA from 1 species